ensembl:lncRNA
GUGGAUCCCAGGGCUUGGAGCUACACAAUACAUUUAUUGAGUCUGUGAGACAUUGCCCACUUCACAUCUAGUCUGUUGAGAUUUGAGUCUCUGUCCAGACAGUGUGCCUCCAUUAAAGUCAGGAAAAAGGAACUGUGGCAACUACAGAGCAAGAGAGAAAAAAAAGCAGGGAGAGGUGAACAAGGCCAAAAGAACGUAAACCAAAGAAGUAAACUCUGCAAAUCUUGAUGAAUACAACUCCACUGAUUAUACAUCUUUGAGCAUAUUAUGAUCCAUAUCUCCAACUAAUAAAAGACUAAAAGAUUGCCUUUGUUAGGAAAAUCAUAAAAAUGAAUUUAAAAGUACAUAAAGUAACAGCAAGAAAUUCUGUUGUAUUCCAUUUUGAUGAAGGCAGACACAGUUAGAGAAAAACACAGGCAUAACAUUUCUAACCAAGGCUGAAGAGAUCAGAGUUUUGUUGGUAAAGUUAAGGAGGCAUUCUCAAAGAAAGGGUAAGUAUGAGAUCCAACACAAAACCAGGAUGAAUUCUUCAAGGGAAGGAGGUAGAAGCUGUGUUUAUUUAUUUAUUUAUUUAUUUUUGCUUUCAGUAUAUGCAAUAAAUAUACAGUUAAGUAAAAAGAUGAGCUGAAAAAAAAUUAUGUUGUAGAGUUGACAGGAGUCAGAAAAUAGAGUUUUUUUCCUAAAGUACUGCACAAAAUUCAAGGAGAGAAAAUGUGUCAUUGAGGGGUGU